CCUGAUGCAGCAACGCCGCGUGAGGGAUGACGGCCUUCGGGUUGUAAACCUCUUUUAGUAGGGAAGAAGCGAAAGUGACGGUACCUGCAGAAAAAGCACCGGCUAACUACGUGCCAGCAGCCGCGGUAAUACGUAGGGUGCAAGCGUUGUCCGGAAUUAUUGGGCGUAAAGAGCUCGUAGGCGGUUUGUCGCGUCUGCUGUGAAAUCCCGAGGCUCAACCUCGGGCUUGCAGUGGGUACGGGCAGACUAGAGUGCGGUAGGGGAGAUUGGAAUUCCUGGUGUAGCGGUGGAAUGCGCAGAUAUCAGGAGGAACACCGAUGGCGAAGGCAGAUCUCUGGGCCGUAACUGACGCUGAGGAGCGAAAGCAUGGGGAGCGAACAGGAUUAGAUACCCUGGUAGUCCAUGCCGUAAACGUUGGGCGCUAGAUGUAGGGACCUUUCCACGGUUUCUGUGUCGUAGCUAACGCAUUAAGCGCCCCGCCUGGGGAGUACGGCCGCAAGGCUAAAACUCAAAGGAAUUGACGGGGGCCCGCACAAGCGGCGGAGCAUGCGGAUUAAUUCGAUGCAACGCGAAGAACCUUACCAAGGCUUGACAUACACCGGACACGGCCAGAGAUGGUCGCCCCCUUGUGGUC
rnacentral:rRNA from 1 species